UUUAUCUGUGUGGAGUGUGUUAAAAAAGUGGUGUUGAUCUUAAUAUUGGAAGACAUAGCUAGUAAAAUCGUGUAACUUACGAAUACGUUUUGUUUUGAAAUUACUGUGUACUACUAUUAAUUAAAAAAACUAACAAAAUGACUAUGCACCCAAAGGAUCAAGAAAUUGCUGACUGUAAAAGGAAAAUCGAGGUUUUAUUUUCAUAGCAUUGUGAAAGAGAGGCUAGAUCUCUGUUAGAGAAAGAAGCACACGAUUUUGAAGACAUUGCACAGUCCAUUGAACAGGAAACCAAUUGGAAUGUUGCAGAAAUCUUCGCUGGAUGUUUAGGGAUCGUUAUGGCGCCAGUUUGGUAUUAACACUUGCUGGUUGGGAAUAUGCUGGGAUAAAUCUGAGCAGCGCUGUUGAAUGUAUGCGAGCAGCGAAAGUCGCCAGAAAUAAUGCCGAAGAGAAGCGGGCUGAGGCUGCGAAGCUUCAUUCAAGGCUGACGAAGCUGUUAUAUUGUGUAAUCACGGAGAUGCGAUUUCGAUGUUGACGUUAAAACGUUACGAAGAGUACUGACAAUUCUAUACUAAAGAGAUGUUCUCCAAAAUACUUCAAAAAUUUCAUUUGUUUACUGUUAGUCAUAUACUUGUGUUCUUAUUUGUGGAUUUGCUAAUUCAUAAUUAGCAAUAAUUAAUAUUAAUAUUAUUAUUUAGUUAUACUGUUAU